AUCCAGCUGACGAGUCCCAAAUAGGACGAAGUGUGCG
rnacentral:hammerhead_ribozyme from 1 species